rnacentral:tRNA from 1 species
GCGGAUGUGGCGGAAUCGGCAGACGCUACGGACUUAAAAUCCGUUGCCCGUAGGGCGUGUGGGUUCAAGUCCCACCAUCCGCACCA